UCUCCGUUGGUGAACCAGCGGAGGGAUCAUUACCGAGUUUACAAACUCCCAAACCCUUUGUGAACCUUACCAUAUUGUUGCUUCGGCGGGACCGCCCCGGCGCCUUCGGGCCCGGAACCAGGCGCCCGCCGGAGGCCCCAAACUCUUAUGUCUUUAGUGGUUUUCUCCUCUGAGUGACACAUAAACAAAUAAAUAAAAACUUUCAACAACGGAUCUCUUGGUUCUGGCAUCGAUGAAGAACGCAGC
rnacentral:misc_RNA from 1 species